ACACUACGCAGAACCUCACCUUACGUGAAAAUCACACCGAGUUAUACUGAGUUUUUUCCAUAGUGUGAUAUAAAUCGACACUAAUACUUUUUCUGCUUUGUGUUCUUUCCAGUAAACGACACAGACGACACGAUAGUAUCUUGAAGCCUUCCGUCACUGUCUCGACUGUAGCAGUGCCGCCGACAUCC